CCUACGGGUGGCAGCAGUCGAGAAUCAUUCACCAUGGGGGAAACCCUGAUGGUGCGACGCCGCGUGGGGGAAUGAAGGUCUUCGGAUUGUACACCCCUGUCAUGUGGGAGCAAAUUAAAAAGAUCGUACCACAAGAGGCAGAGACCGCUAACUCUGUGCCAGCAGCCGCGGUAAUACAGAGGUCUCAAGCGUUGUUCGGAAUCACUGGGCGUAAGGCGUGCGUAGGCUGUUUCGUAAGUCGUGUGUGAAAGGCGCGGGCUCAACCCGCGGACGGCACAUGAUACUGGGAGACUAGAGUAAGGGAGGGGGAACCGGAAUUCUUGGUGUAGCAGUGAAAUGCGUAGAUAUCGAGAGGAACACUCGUGGCGAAGGCGGGUUACUGGACAGUAACUGACGCUGAGGCACGAAGGCCAGGGGAGCGAAAGGGAUCAGAUACCCUGGUAGUC
rnacentral:rRNA from 1 species